UACGGGGGGUGCAAGCGUUGUUCGGAAUUACUGGGCGUAAAGGGCUCGUAGGUUGCCAACUAAGUCAGACGUGAAAUCCCUCGGCUUAACCGGGGAACUGCGUCUGAUACUGGAUGGCUUGAGUUCGGGAGAGGGAUGCGGAAUUCCAGGUGUAGCGGUGAAAUGCGUAGAUAUCUGGAGGAACACCGGUGGCGAAGGCGGCAUCCUGGACAGACACUGACACUGAGGAGCGAAAGCCAGGGGAGCAAACGGG
rnacentral:rRNA from 1 species